rnacentral:rRNA from 1 species
CCUACGGGAGGCAGCAGUGGGGAAUAUUGCACAAUGGGGGAAACCCUGAUGCAGCGACGCCGCGUGAGUGAAGAAGUAUUUCGGUAUGUAAAGCUCUAUCAGCAGGGAAGAAAAGGACGGUACCUGAUUAAGAAGCCUCGGCUAACUACGUGCCAGCAGCCGCGGGAAUACGUAGGGGGCAAGCGUUAUCCGGAUUUAAUGGGUGUAAAGGGAGCGUAGACGGUGAUGCAAGUCAGAAGUGAAAGCCCGGGGCUCAACUCCGGGACUGCUUUUGAAACUGUGUGACUGGAGGGCAGGAGAGGUAAGCGGAAUUCCUGGUGUAGCGGUGAAAUGCGUAGAUAUCAGGAGGAACACC